rnacentral:lncRNA from 1 species
UCCGGACAGAGGGAAGCACCCUGCAGAAACCCGAGGGCGAGGCAGCGCUGCAGCGGGCGCGGCAGGAAGCUCUCGGUGGGGCCCAGAGCCAGGCUGCUGCUGCGAGCUGAGGACCCUAAGCAGAGAGCUCAGGGCAAGCGCUGCUGAUUUCCCACAGCAGAGAGCCACAGUGAACCGUGGGCUCUUCUCUAACAGUCUGUUUCAGGCGUUUACAGCAGAGUCCAUGAGUUCCCUUUGCGCUGAUGUCAAUUGGAGGCGGGACCGGUAUACAGGAUCAGUCUGGCAACUUGGACUUGGUAUGAGAACCUGGAAAUCUUCACUCCAGGUUGCAACACAUAUGUAGCCCUUCCUCUGAGUGAGUGAAGAUGUAACCUUUUGAACUAAUUAGAUCAACUGGAUUUUUUUCUCCGGUUCUGAAGAUUAAAUCCAGAGCCUUGUAUCUGUUAGGUAAGUAACCUAUCACUGAGCUGCAGUCCCAGCCUUGGGAUUUUAAAAAUAGCUCCCUAUAAAACAAAAUCUUAGACAUAUUUUCUUUCUUUGUAUUAUUGAAGAAUGGAAUAGGU